CUUUAGCUAAACAAGUAUUAAAGGUCUCGCCUGCCCAGUGAUAACUUCAACGGCCGCGGUAUUCUAACCGUGCAAAGGUAGCGUAAUCACUUGUCUUCUAAAUAAAGACUAGUAUGAACGGCUAAAUGAGGACAAACCUGUCUCUUACAACUAAUCAGUGAAACUGAUCUCCCAGUACAAAAGCUGGAAUAAUAACAUAAGACGAGAAGACCCUGUGGAGCUUUAAACCAACUAUUACUGCAACCCCUGCACCUAACACGCGGUUUUAAGUUGGGGCGACUUUGGAACAAAACAAAACUUCCGAGCACCGAGCCACAGGCUCUAGCCGAGGUCAACAAACCAAAACAACAAACGACCCAGUAAUACUGAUCAACGAACCAAGUUACCCCAGGGAUAACAGCGCUAUCUUCUUCAAGAGUCCAUAUCGACAAGAAGGUUUACGACCUCGAUGUUGGAUCAGGACACCCAAAUGGUGCAGCCGCUAUUAAAGGUUCGUUUGUUCAACGAUUAACAGUCCUACGUGAUCUGAGUUCAGACCGGAGUAAUCC
rnacentral:rRNA from 1 species